UACGAAGGGGGCUAGCGUUGCUCGGAAUCACUGGGCGUAAAGGGUGCGUAGGCGGGUCUUUAAGUCAGGGGUGAAAUCCUGGAGCUCAACUCCAGAACUGCCUUUGAUACUGAGGGUCUUGAGUCCGGAGAGGUGAGUGGAACUGCGAGUGUAGAGGUGAAAUCGUAGAUAUUCGCAAGAACACCAGUGGCGAAGGCGGCUCACUGGCCCCCGGUACUGACGCUGAGACGCGAAAAGCGUGGGGGGGAGCGAACAGG
rnacentral:rRNA from 1 species